GACGAACGCUGGCGGCGUGCUUAACACAUGCAAGUCGAACGGAAAGGCCCUGCUUUUGUGGGGUGCUCGAGUGGCGAACGGGUGAGUAACACGUGAGUAACCUGCCCUUGACUUUGGGAUAACUUCAGGAAACUGGGGCUAAUACCGGAUAGGAGCUCCUGCUGCAUGGUGGGGGUUGGAAAGUUUCGGCGGUUGGGGAUGGACUCGCGGCUUAUCAGCUUGUUGGUGGGGUAGGGGCUUACCAAGGCUUUGACGGGUAGCCGGCCUUGGAGGGUGGACGGGCACCAUGGGCCUGAGAUACGGACCAGACGCCUACGGGAGGCAGCAGUGGGGAAUCUUGCACAAUGGGCGGAAGCCUGAUGCAGCAACGCCGGGUGCGGGAUGACGGCCUUCGGGUUGUAAACCGCUUUCGCCUGUGACGAAGCGUGCGUGACGGUAAUGGGUAAAGAAGCACCGGCUAACUACGUG
rnacentral:rRNA from 1 species